GACAGAGGAUGCAAGCGUUAUCCGGAAUGAUUGGGCGUAAAGCGUCUGUAGGUGGCUUUUUAAGUCUGCCGUCAAAUCCCAGGGCUUAACCCUGGACAGGCGGUGGAAACUACCAAGCUGGAGUACGGUAGGGGCAGGGGGAAUUUCCGGUGGAGCGGUGAAAUGCGUAGAGAUCGGGAAGAACAUCGGUGGCGAAGGCGGCUCUCUGGGACGGUACUGACGCUGAGACGCGAAAGCGUGGGGAGCGAACAGG
rnacentral:rRNA from 1 species